rnacentral:rRNA from 1 species
UACAGAGGGUGCGAGCGUUAAUCGGAAUUACUGGGCGUAAAGCGUGCGUAGACGGUUCUGUAAGUCGGAUGUGAAAUCCCCGGGCUCAACCUGGGAAUUGCAUUCGAGACUGCAAAGCUUGGGUGCGGAAGAGGGAAGCGGGAAUUUCCGGUGUAGCGGUGAAAUGCGUAGAUAUCGGAAAGGAACAUCAGUGGCGAAAAGCGGCUUCCU